rnacentral:snoRNA from 12 species
AGCAAAAUGACGAGGUUUUAAUAUCUGAAUAUCAUGUGGAUUCAUUAUUCAAAUUGCCUUCAAAGUUCUCUGAUUGCU